GCAGUCGAGCGGACAGAUGGGAGCUUGCUCCCUGAUGUUAGCGGCGGACGGGUGAGUAACACGUGGGUAACCUGCCUGUAAGACUGGGAUAACUCCGGGAAACCGGGGCUAAUACCGGAUGCUUGAUUGAACCGCAUGGUUCAAUUAUAAAAGGUGGCUUUUAGCUACCACUUACAGAUGGACCCGCGGCGCAUUAGCUAGUUGGUGAGGUAACGGCUCACCAAGGCRACGAUGCGUAGCCRACCUGAGAGGGUGAUCGGCCACACUGGGACUGARACACGGCCCARACUCCUACGGGAGGCAGCAGUAGGGAAUCUUCCGCAAUGGACGAAAGUCUGACGGAGCAACGCCGCGUGAGUGAUGAAGGUUUUCGGAUCGUAAAACUCUGUUGUUAGGGAAGAACAAGUACCGUUCGAAUAGGGCGGUACCUUGACGGUACCUAACCARAAAGCCACGGYUAACUACGUGCCAGCAGCCGCGGUAAUACGUAGGUGGCAAGCGUUGUCCGGAAUUAUUGGGCGUAAAGCGCGCGCAGGCGGUUUCUUAAGUCUGAUGUGAAAGCCCCCGGCUCAACCGGGGAGGGUCAUUGGAAACUGGGGAACUUGAGUGCAGAAAAGGAGAGUGGAAUUCCACGUGUAGCGGUGAAAUGCGUAGAGAUGUGGAGGAACACCA
rnacentral:rRNA from 2 species